UUGGCUGCUAUGUGCUUUGAAUGCAGAGCUCAAAAAGACAACGUGCUCCAACCCAAAGGAGGUAUAACUGUUAGUGAGGGAGAGACAGUAACACUGGACUGUCACUAUAACACCAGUGGCACAAAUACAAAUCUUUACUGGUACAGACAAGCUGCAAACGACAAGCCCACAUUCAUUCUGAGCCGCAUUACUGCUGAAUCAGGGAACACAGGGGACGGGUUCAAGGAGAGAUUUGAUUCCAGCCUGGAUUCCAGCUCAAGAUCAGUUCCUCUGAAGAUCCAGAGUCUGCAGCUGUCUGACUCUGCUGUGUACUACUGUGCUCUGAGGCCCACAGUGACAGUUCCAGUUAUCAGCAAACCAUCCAGUCCCUCCAAGACAGAGUACAUGGUCUAG